GAUGAAGAACUCAGCGAAAUGCGAUAAGUAGUGUGAAUUGCAGAAUUCAGUGAAUCAUCGAAUCUUUGAACGCACAUUGCGCCCCUUGGUAUUCCAUGGGGCAUGCCUGUUCGAGCGUCAUUUGUACCUUCAAGCUCUGCUUGGUGUUGGGUGUUUGUCUCGCCUCUGCGUGUAGACUCGCCUCAAAACAAUUGGCAGCCGGCGUAUUGAUUUCGGAGCGCAGUACAUCUCGCGCUUUGCACUCAUAACGACGACGUCCAAAAGUACAUUUUUACACUCUUGACCUCGGAUCAGGUAGGGAUACCCGCUGAACUUAAGCAUAUCAAUAAGCGGAGGA
rnacentral:misc_RNA from 1 species